UACGGAGGGUGCAAGCGUUAUCCGGAUUCACUGGGUUUAAAGGGUGCGUAGGCGGGCAGGUAAGUCAGUGGUGAAAUCUCCGGGCUUAACCCGGAAACUGCCGUUGAUACUAUCUGUCUUGAAUAUCGUGGAGGUAAGCGGAAUAUGUCAUGUAGCGGUGAAAUGCUUAGAUAUGACAUAGAACACCCAUUGCGAAGGCAGCUUACUACACGAUCGUUGACGCUGAGGCACGAAAGCGUGGGGAGCAAACAGG
rnacentral:rRNA from 1 species